rnacentral:rRNA from 1 species
UACGUAGGGUGCGAGCGUUUUCCGGAAUUACUGGGCGUAAAGAGCUCGUAGGUGGUUUGUCGCGUUGUUCGUGAAAACUCACAGCUUAACUGUGGGCGUGCGGGCGAUACGGGCAGACUGGAGUACUGCAGGGGAGACUGGAAUUCCCAGUGUAGCGGUGAAAUGCGUAGAUAUUGGGAAGAACACCUGAGGCGAAGGCGGGUUGCUGGGCCGACACUGACGCUGAGGCGCGAAAGCCAGGGGAGCAAACGGG